AGCUAAAUUUCCUAUAGCCAAAUGUAGCUUGGUGACACAAAAUACUGUAUUUGGUUAUUUAAAAGAAGAGGGGGAGGUAAAACGUAAGAAGGCCAGAGCACCUGGGACCUUGUUUUACUAAAGCUUAUUAUGUUUCAGUGGCCCUGGUUCCCCAUGACAAAAGUACAAAGAGUACCCGCAAGAAGUAAGUUGAAGAUAAGGAGUGAGGAGAAGGAAGGUUAGUGGUAAGGCCACCAGUGAUUCUAACAGCAAAGGGACAAGAAAAAAGACUGGAACUUUAUUUAGAGGAUAAAGCUGAUGCCUGGCUUGCCAUCUUGCCCAGAUGGGACCUCAGGCAUAGGUUCCUAACUGUGAAUAUCCUGAUUUUGAAGAAAACAGUAGAUUAAUUUCAACUGCUGGCAGCUUUCACUUGACCUUGCAAAGGUUACAAUUAUCCAGAAAUCUCAUACCUAUGAGGGAAGCCAACUUCUGUGUCAUGAGGACAUUCAAGCAGCACUAUGGAGCCAUCCAUGUGGCUAGGAGCUGAAACUGAGCCAAGAAGCAGUGAGGAACUGGCUGGUAACAGCCAUGUGGGUAAAAGCCAUCUGAGAAGUGCAUGCUCUAGUCUCAGUCAAGCCUUCAGAAGACUGUGGCACCUGACAUCUCCACUGCAACCUCAUUAGAAACUCAAGACAGAACUGCCAGAGAAGCUCUUCCUGAAUUUCUGACCUACAGAAACGGAAGAAAUUGUGUUUUGGAAUUGGGCCAACAGUAUGUGUUUCUCCGGUGGAUAAGCAAAAUUUCAUAAGAACAAAGAUGAUUCAAGCAGAUGUUUAUCAUGAAACUGCCAUAAAAAGCACCCGAAGUCACAAAGAUAAACAUCAAAUCCAGUCCUUGGAAAUUUCCCCCACCCUACCUGAGCAUCUUUUGAAGUAGAUAUUCAAUUAUUUUGAAGGAUUUUUAAAGAAUUUUCUAGAUUUCAUCUAAAAGACACUUUUGAAAUCUGCGUUAAAAUUCAUGGAAAUAUAUCCUAGAUGAAUUUGGAGGAAUGUAAGCAAGUAGGUACAAACCUUUAUUUUAUCCCUCAGUGACUCACUCAGUUGUGAAUAGGAAGGGCUCUCUGUGAUCUGGCCACAGCUUAUUUCUUGCCACAUUCCUAUUUUCAGUCCUCUUCCAAUCAUGUGGAACUUCCAGCAUCUCCUUACACAUGCCAUGUUAUUUCACACUUUUGUGACUUUGCUCAUAUUUUUCUCUCUCCCUGGAAAGCUCCCCGACAACCUCCACUGCCAUUACCCACUAGGCAAGUACAUCCUGUUUUCAGAAUCAGCCCAAUAUCAUCUUUCCUAGGGAAUCUUGUCAGACUGCCCUUCAUUACCAACAGACAAAAUAACUACCUUAUCUUUGGUUCUGUCUUCACUCUAGACCUAUGUAGCAUGCUACUUAUAACACUGCAUUGGUUUGUUGGCAUUUGUAUUUUCCACUGAGCAACCAUAACUUAUGUGUAGACAAAAAUUGUAUUGCUCACCUUUGGAUUACUAGGACCUAGCAGUGUUCUGAUUCAGAGUAUGUACUCAAUAAAUUCAUCUUGAAAAGUGAAUGAAUGAAUAAAUGAACGCCUGCAUCUCCAUCAUUGAUUUACUAUUUAAUCAGUGAAGUUUUUAAAUUAUAUUCCCCCAUAUCUUGAGAUUUGAUCUUGUGUUAAAUCAGUUGCACAUAUUAGACAUUACUUUGUCCUUUUCACUUCUCCUUAGCACAUAUGGGCUAUAUAAUCUUUAUAAAGGUUAAAGAAAUAUAUUGUAAUAUGUUAUAACACAAUCAAGAUACAUCUGAAACAACAUAGUGCAGGCACUAUUUCCGAUGUUCAACAUCAUGCUGGAGUAAAACUUAGAGACUCUUGGAAAAAAGAAAUACUUAAAUAAUGUCACCAGUGUAAUGUGCUACAUUGUAAUGGUGUUAUGCUUAUUACAUGUGUUAUCUAGUAAUGCACAAAAAGCCUAAUGGAUUUGCUCAUAUUUUCCUCAUGUGCAAAUGAAAACACUGAGUCUCAGAGAGAUUAAAUAAAUUGCCAAAUGUCAUGUCAA
rnacentral:lncRNA from 1 species